CCUACGGGUGGCAGCAGUGAGGAAUAUUGGUCAAUGGACGCAAGUCUGAACCAGCCAUGCCGCGUGCAGGAAGAAGGUGCUAUGCAUUGUAAACUGCUUUUAUACGGGGGUAAUUCCAGAUACGUGUAUCUGGAUGAAAGUACCGUAUGAAUAAGGAUCGGCUAACUCCGUGCCAGCAGCCGCGGUAAUACGGAGGAUCCGAGCGUUAUCCGGAUUUAUUGGGUUUAAAGGGUGCGUAGGCGGUCAGGUAAGUUAGAGGUGAAAGCUCGAUGCUCAACAUCGAAACUGCCUCUGAUACUGUCUGACUAGAGUGUAGUUGCGGAAGGCGGAAUGUGUGGUGUAGCGGUGAAAUGCUUAGAUAUCACGAAGAACUCCGAUUGCGAAGGCAGCUUACUAAACUGCCACUGACAUUGAUGCUCGAAAGUGUGGGUAUCAAACAGGAUUAGAUACCCGAGUAGUC
rnacentral:rRNA from 1 species